ACCUGCAGUCGAGCGGAUGAAAGGAGCUUGCUCCUGGAUUCAGCGGCGGACGGGUGAGUAAUGCCUAGGAAUCUGCCUGGUAGUGGGGGACAACGUUUCGAAAGGAACGCUAAUACCGCAUACGUCCUACGGGAGAAAGCAGGGGACCUUCGGGCCUUGCGCUAUCAGAUGAGCCUAGGUCGGAUUAGCUAGUUGGUGAGGUAAUGGCUCACCAAGGCGACGAUCCGUAACUGGUCUGAGAGGAUGAUCAGUCACACUGGAACUGAGACACGGUCCAGACUCCUACGGGAGGCAGCAGUGGGGAAUAUUGGACAAUGGGCGAAAGCCUGAUCCAGCCAUGCCGCGUGUGUGAAGAAGGUCUUCGGAUUGUAAAGCACUUUAAGUUGGGAGGAAGGGUUGUAGAUUAAUACUCUGCAAUUUUGACGUUACCGACAGAAUAAGCACCGGCUAACUCUGUGCCAGCAGCCGCGGUAAUACAGAGGGUGCAAGCGUUAAUCGGAAUUACUGGGCGUAAAGCGCGCGUAGGUGGUUCGUUAAGUUGGAUGUGAAAUCCCCGGGCUCAACCUGGGAACUGCAUCCAAAACUGGCGAGCUAGAGUAUGGUAGAGGGUGGUGGAAUUUCCUGUGUAGCGGUGAAAUGCGUAGAUAUAGGAAGGAACACCAGUGGCGAAGGCGACCACCUGGACUGAUACUGACACUGAGGUGCGAAAGCGUGGGGAGCAAACAGGAUUAGAUACCCUGGUAGUCCACGCCGUAAACGAUGUCAACUAGCCGUUGGAAGCCUUGAGCUCUUAGUGCCGCACCUAACGCUUAAGUUGACCGCCUGGGAGUAAUCAG
rnacentral:rRNA from 1 species